UACGUAGGGGGCAAGCGUUGUCCGGAUUUAUUGGGCGUAAAGAGCGUGUAGGCGGUUUGGUAGGUCCGCUGUGAAAACUCGAGGCUCAACCUCGAGAUGUCGGCGGAAACCAUCUGGCUAGAGUCCGGAAGAGGAGAAUGGAAUUCCCGGUGUAGCGGUGAAAUGCGCAGAUAUCGGGAAGAACACCCGUGGCGAAGGCGGUUCUCUGGGACGGUACUGACGCUGAGACGCGAAAGCGUGGGGAGCGAACAGGG
rnacentral:rRNA from 1 species